AUACUUACCUGGCAGGGGAGAUACCAUGAUCUCAAAGGUGGUUUUCCCAGGGCAAGGCUCAUCCAUUGCACUCCAAAUGUGCUGAUCCCUGCAAUUUCCUCAAAUGUAGGAAACCCAACGGCAUAAUGUGUAGCAGUGGGAGACUGUGUUCACGCUUUCCUCUG
rnacentral:snRNA from 1 species